rnacentral:rRNA from 1 species
GAUGAACGCUGGCGGCGUGCCUAAUACAUGCAAGUCGAGCGAACAGACGAGGAGCUUGCUCCUCUGACGUUAGCGGCGGACGGGUGAGUAACACGUGGAUAACCUACCUAUAAGACUGGGAUAACUUCGGGAAACCGGAGCUAAUACCGGAUAAUAUAUUGAACCGCAUGGUUCAAUAGUGAAAGACGGUUUUGCUGUCACUUAUAGAUGGAUCCGCGCCGCAUUAGCUAGUUGGUAAGGUAACGGCUUACCAAGGCAACGAUGCGUAGCCGACCUGAGAGGGUGAUCGGCCACACCGGAACUGAGACACGGUCCAGACUCCUACGGGAGGCAGCAGUAGGGAAUCUUCCGCAAUGGGCGAAAGCUUGACGGAGCAACGCCGCGUGAGUGAUGAAGGUCUUCGGAUCGUAAAACUCUGUUAUUAGGGAAGAACAAAUGUGUAAGUAACUAUGCACGUCUUGACGGUACCUAAUCAGAAAGCCACAGCUAACUACGUG